GGGCUGGCUUUGCUAGCCCAUGCCCUGUCAUGAAAACAGCACAGAGAAUAUUGGCACAGCCCCUGUGUAGGGGUGACACACAGAUGAGUCGAGUAUUUUAUAUUA
ensembl:snRNA U6 U6 spliceosomal RNA